GACGAACGCUGGCGGCGUGCCUAAUACAUGCAAGUCGAACGCUUCUUUCCUCCCGAGUGCUUGCACUCAAUUGGAAAGAGGAGUGGCGGACGGGUGAGUAACACGUGGGUAACCUACCCGUCAGAGGGGGAUAACACUUGGAAACAGGUGCUAAUACCGCAUAACAGUUUAUGCCGCAUGGCAUAAGAGUGAAAGGCGCUUUCGGGUGUCGCUGAUGGAUGGACCCGCGGUGCAUUAGCUAGUUGGUGAGGUAACGGCUCACCAAGGCCACGAUGCAUAGCCGACCUGAGAGGGUGAUCGGCCACACUGGGACUGAGACACGGCCCAGACUCCUACGGGAGGCAGCAGUAGGGAAUCUUCGGCAAUGGACGAAAGUCUGACCGAGCAACGCUGCGUGAGUGAAGAAGGUUUUCGGAUCGUAAAACUCUGUUGUUAGAGAAGAACAAGGACGUUAGUAACUGAACGUCCCCUGACGGUAUCUAACCAGAAAGCCACGGCUAACUACGUG
rnacentral:rRNA from 1 species